AAAGGUUUGGUCCCGCCCUUUCUAUUAGCUGUUAGCAGGAUUACACAUGCAAGUAUCAGCGCUCCGGUGAAAAAGCCCUUGAAAUCACAUGCUGGUCAAAAGGAGCGGGUAUCAAGCACACCCCUGAAGGUAGCUAAAGACGCCUCGCCUAGCCACACCCCCACGGGAUACAGCAGUGAUAAGAAUUAAGCAAUGAACGAAAGUUUGACUAAGCCAUGCUAACCACCAAGGGUUGGUAAAUUUCGUGCCAGCCACCGCGGUCAUACGAUUAACCCAAGUUAAUAGACAUACGGCGUAAAACGUGUUGAGGAACCUACAUUCAAUAAAGUUAAAUCUAGACCUUGCUGUAAAAAGCUUUAGACUAGACAAAAAUAAGCCACGAAAGUGACUUUAAACCAUCCGACCACACGAUAGCUAAGACACAAACUGGGAUUAGAUACCCCACUAUGCUUAGCCCUAAACCUAAGUAGCUAAUAUAACAAUUCUACUCGCCAGAGAACUACUAGCAACAGCUUAAAACUCAAAGGACUUGGCGGUGCUUUAUAUCCCUCUAGAGGAGCCUGUUCUAUAAUCGAUAAACCCCGAUAAACCUCACCGGCCCUUGCCAAUUCAGCCUAUAUACCGCCAUCCUCAGCAAACCCUAAAAAGGAAGCAUAGUAAGCAAAAUUAUAUAAGCAUAAAAACGUUAGGUCAAGGUGUAGCUAAUGAGCCGGAAAGAAAUGGGCUACAUUUUCUAAAAUAGAAAACAACGAAAGCUCUCGUGAAACCGAGAACAGAAGGAGGAUUUAGUAGUAAAUUAAGAAUAGAGAGCUUAAUUGAAUCAGGCCAUGAAGCACGCACACACCGCCCGUCACCCUCCUCAAGUAUAAAAUAUAAUUGACAACAUAUAAGUGUAUAUACACGUACAAGAGGAGAUAAGUCGUAACAAGGUAAGCGUACUGGAAAGUGCGCUUGGAAUAAU
rnacentral:ncRNA from 1 species